rnacentral:rRNA from 1 species
CAGCCGCCGCGGUAAGACAGAGGAUGCAAGCGUUAUCCGGAAUGAUUGGGCGUAAAGCGUCUGUAGGUGGCUUUUCAAGUCCGCCGUCAAAUCCCAGGGCUCAACCCUGGACAGGCGGUGGAAACUACCAAGAUGGAGUACGGUAGGGGCAGAGGGAAUUUCCGGUGGAGCGGUGAAAUGUGUUGAGAUCGGAAAGAACACCAACGGCGAAAGCACUCUGCUGGGUUGACACUGACACUGAGAGACGAAAGCUAGGGGAGCAAAUGGGAUUAGAUACCCGUGUAGUCCCUGUCUCUUAUAC